ACGCUUGCCCUGAGCUCAUGUGCUGUGUUCCUGUGAGCCACGGAGGGGCAGGAGCGAGGGCUUAGAGCAUGGAAAGUGCCUGAGGAGCUGCCGCGGGUAAUGAGAAGAACAGAGCAAUGAUCCUGGCAGAUUUGUUGGUUUAUUUUGUUCUCUGGGCACAGGAAAAUUAGGAGAAGAUGUCAUUCUCCAAUUCAAAGUUCUCGCUGUCGCUGCGGUGUGGCCUGGGGCGCUAGAUGGCAGUGUGGCUGUGUGACAUCCAGGG